rnacentral:rRNA from 1 species
UACAGAGGGGGCAAGCGUUGUUCGGAAUUACUGGGCGUAAAGGGCGCGUAGGCGGCCUGUUAAGUCGAACGUGAAAUCCCCGGGCUCAACCCGGGAACUGCGUCCGAUACUGGCAGGCUUGAAUUCGGGAGAGGGAUGUGGAAUUCCAGGUGUAGCGGUGAAAUGCGUUGAUAUCAUCAGGAACACCAGUGGCGAAAGCGGCUUACUGGGUCUCUUCUGACGCUGAGGUACGAAAGCCAGGGGAGCGAAGGGG